rnacentral:rRNA from 1 species
UACGUAGGGUGCGAGCGUUGUCCGGAAUUACUGGGCGUAAAGCGUGCGCAGGCGGUUGUGUAAGUCAGAUGUGAAAUCCCCGGGCUCAACCUGGGAAUUGCAUUUGAGACUGCACGGCUAGAGUGUGUCAGAGGGGGGUAGAAUUCCACGUGUAGCAGUGAAAUGCGUAGAGAUGUGGAGGAAUACCGAUGGCGAAGGCAGCCCCCUGGGAUAACACUGACGCUCAUGCACGAAAGCGUGGGGAGCAAACAGG